rnacentral:tRNA from 1 species
GCAGCUUAGUGUUAGAGCACAUGCUUACCAUGCACGAGGUUCUGGGUUCAAUCCCCAGUGCC